AGCUUCAUGGUGCAAAUAUUUUCCUCAACCCCAUUUCUAGUCUGACAUCCUCUUCCACGUGGUUCUUGUUGUUCGGGCCUGCUUGGUCGCUGUGGAGGGUGAUCAGGACGAGGUUGAUCUUCUUCUUCGUCCUCGUCCUCGUCAUCUUCAUGCUUUCCAUGGCUUGGUCGUCGUGGAGGAUAAGAGGGAGUUUGUUCAUAUUCUUCGUCUUCAUCUUCGUCUUCGUCUUCUUGUUCUUGCCACUUGGGGCUGAUAACGCUGAGGCCUCCCUCCACUGUCACGAUCUGCUUCCUUUCGUCAUCUGGAGACCGAAGUUUCUCAGCUGUGUCCUCGUUGGUGUUGAAGGAUUGUGCUAAGAAAUGUUUGCUGAAGCCACUGAGCACACUGCCACCUUCUUCCUCCUGCUGCUGGUGUUGCCCCUGCUUGCGUCCACCAUGACUCUUCUGCUGCUGCUGUUGUUGCAUGGUCUCUGGGUGCUCUAUAUCUGGGUUCCCAGCAAGGUAAAAUACCUUGAAAGUAAUUAAAAAAAUUAACAUGUGAGGAGAACAUGUUUUUUUUAAUAAUAAAAUAAUAGUUAAUAGUAAAUGAAGUUCAAUUGAUAUCCAAUCAUGAUACAAGUAUAUAUCCAACUAUUUUAAACACUCCAUUAAUAUAACUUAUUUCUCUUUUCUUAUCACAUUAUAAAUUCUAUCCUAUUUAUAUGUAUUUUUUUCUUUUUCAUUUCUCCCUCUAGAUAUAAGAUAGUGUUCUUCAAACAUUUUUCAUAAAUAAUAAAACAUAACAUCCAAAUGAUGUGAUAUAAAGUAUAUUAAUUAUUUUAUUACUUAGUAUAUUUAAUAAAAGAAAAUAAUAAUAAAAAAUAUUUUGUUAGGUGUCUUUUUAAGUGUGUAUGAUACUAUGCAGUGACAUGUGUAUCACUGCUCAUUAUAAUUACGUACUCUGGGGUUUUGAUCAAGCUGAUUGUUGAAGUUGGAGGUGUCAAGAAGACUGAUGGCAACAACUGGUUCAUCGCCAGUGUUAUAGGUCCAGUAAGGAACACCAGGAGGAAUCACUAGUACGUCUCCUUCAUUGAAGUGACGAAUCUUCUGGUGACUGUCUUGUAGUUGCUGCUGCGACCUUGAGCCUCUUCUGCUUGAUUGCUGUUGUGGCUUCUCAAACGUCUCAGGACAUCCCGGAAAUGCAAAUCCAAUUGCUCCCUUCCCUGUGCAUCAAUCAUCAUCAAGCAAAACAAUCACAUUAAUUAUCAACUAAUUAACACUCUUUAGUCAUCAUAAUUGUUAAGAGUUCAUUCAUAUAACUUGUAAGAUAGUUAGUCAUCAAAUUGUGAUUAGACAUAUAGAUAUAUAGUAUUAUUAUUAUUAUUAUUAUUAUUAGUUUUAUUAGAUGAUACUAUGCCAUAAUGUGGUGUUUAAAACCUAGUUGAGAAAAACAAAUUCUACUAAAAAUGAUUAAUCAAAUUUUCUAGCAGAGAUUAAUUAUAAAAAAUUUAAUAAAUAUUUCAUAUUACUAUUAUUGUUAUCACGUUAAGCUGAUAAAUACUUCUUACUAAUAUUACGCACCUUGAACGACAAUGAUCAUUUGGGGAUAAGGUGAGUAAGAUGGCAAGUGGAGGCCGUUGCGGUUGAGGGUGCGUUUGGAAACAGUGACACCGGCGCAUUGCAGCUCAGGGUGUUGAGAGUUCCAUGUUUCAAUAAGACCACCUUCGGACUCAACGCGGUGGUCGGGUUCCAACGCGUUGAGGUUGUUGAGUUGGCACUCGUUGAACUUGCUGGAGGUAAUAGCAAAGCAUGCACUCGACAAGAGUAGCAAGCAAAGGGAAGAAAGAGAGAGAGUGAAGAAGGGCUUCCCCAUAUUGAACUAAGGAAAGUGUUAAUAAGUUUGAAGGAGUUGGUGAAGUGGAGAACACGAAGAGUGGCGAUUUAUAGUGAAGAGAGGAGAGUGAGUGAGGGACACGUCAAUGAAGAAGGGUUUCUGAGUUGGUGACAUUCUUCACCUUGCAUGGCUAUUGUUUCCAAUUUUGUUACACCUCAUACAUAAGCUAUGCUUCGUUUAUAUCUGCAACCGUACAUGAACAACACCAAAAUUGCAGGCACCCUGAAUGGUCCCCCUCUACAGAUUCUCCGCGUCUCAAAUUCUAUCCUCCUUAUACAAUAAGAUCAGCAUUCUAUUCAGUGCAUCAUAUUUUUUUUAUACAAUUAAUUUCCUUUAUAAAUGAGAUAAGGAUAUGAAAAAAAUGUGAAAUAAAAUAAAUAAUAUUACUGUAAAAGAUAAAAAAAAAGGUUUUAUAAACUGUUAAAUAAUUUUUUUAUAACCAUACUAUAUCAUCUUUUAUAUAAUGCGUUAAAUAUUAAAAAAGAAAAUGACAUCCACAAUAAUCUUAUCUAACUCCUGCAGCAUAAUUGUCUCUGUAAAAGAUAUAUAUCAAAUACUAUGAUGUUUAAAAUCUUUCUCAAUUUGAACUGUUUUACUGUAUAUGCAGUUCGUCACCAUAUAUAAGGUUGGCAUGGAAAAGGAGAAAGAGAGAAAUUGCUGCUUCGAAUCCAUUCUAUUCACAUUUAUAAUAAAAACUAAUAAAUUAACAUUUAUUUAUAAAAAAAAAUUAAUGAUAAAUUUUUCAAAAUUAUAUAUAAAUUAUUUUCACACUAAUUUUUUUUAAAUGUCACUUAGAUUUAAUCAUAAAUCGAAUUUUGAGUAUAUAAUUAUAUUAAACACUUUAAAAAAAAAGGUUUUAUUUCCCAUAAUAAUUCUCCUUGACUUAAAUAAGAUUACCUCCUUUUAUGAAAGGAUACCAAUGCUUUUAAACUUAAAAAUAAAACACUUAAUAAUGUGUCAAAAAAUCAAACACUAUUUUUAUGCCUAAUUGAUUACAUGACGAGCGUGCAUGUUAUAUUAGAUAGACACGCGUUUUACUAGAUUAAAUAUUUUUUAGUUCUUCAAAAUUUAGUAAAAUUCGUUUUUGGAUCCUCAGGUUUAAAGUUAAACGUUUUCAUUUAUAAUUUGAGAAAUAGACUUGUUUUCAUCCUUCAUACUAGUGACCAUAGGUGAAAUGCUAAUGUGGUCAAUGGAUUCAAGUCAUAAUUCGAUCACCACGUCAUUUCCGGUUCAUGUGACCUAAUGGUGUCACAUUAAAGGAACGAAAACUGAAUUUUGCAUUUAAGAGGGAAUUAAACAUUUAGAUUGAAUUAUUAAAAAGAUUAAAAUCGAACUUUAUACGAGAGUCCAAAAGUAUUUUAUUAUGCUUAUAUGUUAAAAUUCAAUAGAAUAAAUAAGUACUCUCCUAUAUGAAGAACCAUAUACUAAUUCCGUUGAUUGAGUAUUAGCUAUGUACUAACAGAAAUAAUUUCCGUUUUUCCCCUUUCUCUUUCUCGUUCUUGGAAAAGUGUGUGCAUGAUUUUUUUUUUAUGAAUUCAUACUCCAACAAAUGGUAUCCAGAGCAGGUUGUUGAAGGGUGGUCAUCGAUCGAAAGUGAGGUGAGUGAAACCUAAACACGAGAGACGGUAAGCGAGUGAAAACACGAGAGACGGUGAGGAACCUUAUCAAUGGCAACAACGAACGAAAACUUUCCGGCGAACUUUCCGGUUCUUGAUGGGAGAAAUUACGAUCAGUGGAGUAUGAAGAUGAAGGCGAUCCUCGAUUAUCAAGAUGUGUGGGAUCUGGUGGUGAACGGACUUGAUCCGCUGCCGGUGAAUCCAACCACUGCGUAACAAGCGAUAUAUAGAGAUGCGAAGAAGAAGGAUUGCAAAGGUUUGUGCAUUCUGCAUCAGUGUGUGAAUCAAGCAAUUUUUGAGAAAUUUGCGAGAUCGGAGACGAGCAAAGCGGCGUGGGAUGUUCUCGCGAGCUCCUACGCCGGUGAUCAGAAAUUGAAGAAAGUACGACUUCAAACUCUAAGGUGACAGUAUGAAUUGCUAGGCAUGGAAGAGAGUGAGACAAUUGCUACCUAUUUCACUCGUGUUCAAACCAUGACAAAUCAAACGCCGGUGAUCGGUGCAUUCGCGAUUUGAUCAUGUCACGGUAGCGAUUGAAGAAUCGAAGGAUCUAUCAACGCUAAAAUGGAGGAGCUCAAGNNNNNNNNNNNNNNNNNNNNNNNNNNNNNNNNNNNNNNNNNNNNNNNNNNNNNNNNNNNNNNNNNNNNNNNNNNNNNNNNNNNNNNNNNNNNNNNNNNNNAACUCUGGUAGAGGAAACUCUAGUAAUAAUUACAAUAGUGAACAAAAGAACAAUAGCAGUGAAAAUUAUAGAAGAAGAGGUGGAAGAGGUGGUAGAGGAAGAGGUGGAAGAGGAGGAAGAAAAAUUGAUAAGAGUCACAUUCAAUGUUAUAAUUGUGAGAAAUACGGUCAUUUUGCCGAUGAAUGCUAUAGUAAUCCAAGCCACCCUGAGGCAAGAUUGGCUUAAGAAGAAGAUGAGAAGGAGGAAAUUCUGUUAAUGGCAGUAGAGGAGGAAAUUGGUGAUGAUGGAGUGGAAGAAGUGAGAAAGGAGAAAGUAGAUAUAGAAGAAGUGUUAUAUAUGGUGACUGUGAAGGAUGAGAGUGAUCAUGGUGAUAACUGGUUCCUUGACACUGGGUGUUCAACACACAUGUCAUGAAAGAAGGAAUGGUUUGUUGAGAUAGAUUUCACUGUCAAAAGCAGGGUGAGGUUUGCUGAUGACAGGACUAUGAAGGUUGAAGGUGUAGGAAAGGUGAUGAUCAGGAAGAGAGAUGGAUCUAAAUGCUUUAUUUCUGGAGUGUUGUAUGUUCCAGGAAUGAAGAGCAAUCUUCUGAGCAUUGGACAGCUACUGGAGAAAGGGUACAAGAUGGUGUUGGAGGAUUGU
rnacentral:lncRNA from 1 species